ensembl:lincRNA
GGACCGUCACCUCACUUUUCUGCGGUCACAGCCCCGCUGCCCUCUGCCAGGGCUGCACACAGGACAGCUUUCCCUCCUCCGCGUCCCGGGCCUGCGGUCCAAGGGAGGUGUGCCCAGGGGUCCCCUCUGCCUUCAGCCAAUGGGGCCAAUGCCCCUUGGCCCACAGAGUCAGGUAACUGGCCUGGAAGUGCAGCCUGGCCCUCUGGCCAGGCCUGCCUCCGGUCUCUGGAGGCACCUGCCUCUGGCGACGGCCCACAGCCCUGAGUGUGCACCAGUGAGGGGCAAAGAACAGGCGCACGGGAAGAAGCUGUCAUUCAAACAGUCCCGGAGGCUGGGUGGUGGCUCAGGACACGUCCUGUGAGCCCCAGCAGCCACAAGAAGUCCAGCUGGGGACACCCUAGUCCAUGCCGCGUGAGGUCCCCACGUGGAGAGAGGCAACAACCGCAGCUGGGGAGCCGCGCCUCCGACACCCUGGUCUCCGGAGGCCAGGCGUCCACUUGGCCAGACUGACGGAAGCUGAUGGCACCUCAGCUCACGCGUGGGCUCCCAGCAGAGCCCUCACCAAGUGACUGUCACUCGCUCUGUCUCUAAGAAAGCCAAGAGAACGGGCGAUGCCGCGGGUUUCUAGUGCGGGGAGGCGGCCUUCAGGCCGCGAGCUCAUGGCCACAAGCUCACAAAGAUAAAACAGACCAUAACCUGCGACUCUGACUUUGUUUCCACUUAGAAAGGCCUCUCUGAGAAGAUGCGAUUUCAGGUGGAGGCCGGGAGCUCUGCGUCUGGGUCUAAACAAGCCUCAGUGUCCCCGGGCCCCGAGGACUGUCCAGGCUGCGGCUCUGGAGAGCCCUCCAGAGGCUCCUCUACACGCACCAAGCCACGCGGCUGCAGCCCCGAGGGGAGCCAUGCCUGGCUGGAGGUCAGACCCCACCGGCCCCUUCAGGUGCCCUUCGAGGGCUCCCCAUCCUGGUCAGGGCUUGGGGUCUCCAGCUGGCUCCCCGUCAGCCACACACAGGAAGCAAAGGCGCGCCCAACCUCACUAGUGGCCCAACGGGAAGACUGUCCAGCCGGCCGCAGGCCAGCCCCUCACACGUCCUCAGUGACCAAAGAGGAGGGCAGGGUCGCUCCCCCCGCAGAGGCCCUGGCACAGCUGGCCCUCCCGGCCCCGCGCCGCACCUGGGGGCAGCAGAACAGCCGAAGGCCACAGCCUCCCCAGGGCCGGGCACUCUCCCCACACCCAGCUGCCCCAAAGGCGCGGCCAGGCUGGAGCCAGGCGCAAGCACUUCUGACAGUGGGCAGGGGGCAGCGGCAGGGGAGGGUCCAUCGCACACUCAGGAACAGCCCAGAUCCGUCCACCAGAGCUAGCUGACCAUGCUUGGGAGACGUGGGUCCCUGGACCAGCCUGCAGAAUCUCACGUCUACACACCCCCACUCGCAAAUCUGUGCUUUUGGGGAGAUAACAAGUUUUGUCAGAUUCUGAAGAGCAUGACCCUGUGGUGAGAAGCCCACGUUCCAGAAAACUCUUCCAUUUACAGAUGUGGAAACUAAGGCAUAGAGACCCCACGACAAGGGGGGUCAGACAGAUGAGCAGAUACAGCUUAACAGGGUCAGGCGCUCAAAGGCCACAGCAGCUGGCAUCACAGGCACGAGAGGGCGCGAGAAAGCAGCCACGAGCUCCCUCCUCUGACGGGAGCCUCCCUGGGAGCGGGCGGGAAGCUCAUGAGCCCAGAGAGCAGGAGAAACUGCAGGCGAGAGGCCCCACUGGGCCAGCCCACGUGAGCCCGGCUCUGCAGGUGGAGGCCAGGCGAGAACCGCAGCCCAGCCUGUCCUCUGAGACUCAGCGAGGCAGAGAGAAGACAACGGGGCAUUUUCAAGCGACAAGCACCUGGAGCCCACAGCGCAGGGGAACUGCCAGGUCUGGGGCAGCAGUCAGAGGGUGUAAUUACAGGACGGCCCCUCGCAGCCUUGGCGCUGUUUAAAGAGCGACAUGAGAAGCACAGAGAAGAACCUGUCUUCAGCUCACACAAGCAGACAAACAGAAGGCUCCUUAACCCCCACAGGACCCGGGAGCCAAGGACCGAUCCUGAACCAUCAACCUCCCAGCUCUGCGCCCAGGCAGAGUCGGUCUGUGUGAGCCGAGCACCCGCCGGCAACACACCCCGGGAGGGGGGGGGGGCCCCAGGAAGCCAGGCGGCAGUGGGGUGGAAGAUCCCGCUCACCUGUGAGGUCAGCUCGACAGACUCGCUAAGGCUGCUGCAGAGGCCUGAUGGCAAACUACCUACUGUUUCCGCUUCCCUGUUCCACUCCUAAUGACUCAGCGUAUUUCAACUGUUAUAACCACCUAAAAGAAAUUACUUCUCCUCAACAAAACAUCUACCUCCUCAGUAUAAACAAAAACAGUCCUUUAAGAAAGCUCAACGCUCCUGGGGCAGUACCUGCUGGCCCUUGAGAGCGUCCUUGGCAGGGAGAGCUGCCCAGCUCCAUCCCUUUGAGCCUCUCUGCAGCCGCAGGGGGCUGCUGCCAGAGGGCCCUGGGAUGCAGGCUCGCUCGCCAAGGGUGCCGCCCAUGAGGAGAAGGCGGCGACUGCGGGCCUGGCACCCUCUGCCUACCUGAUGCUCAAGCCAGUGGUCUGGUCCAGCCUCUCCCAGCUCUGCAGCUUCGUCAAGAUCCUCUGAAAAGACAGUGAGGGAGACCCUUCAGAGCUCUGUGCCAGCGUUUCCAUCCAGGGACACACGGGCCCGCCGUCCCCCCACAGCAUGUCACCCCUUCCCCACCACGCACACUCGACCCAGACAGGACAGCGUCACAGGAAACGGACGAUCACUGUGACAUCACAGCCCCGGUCCUCCACAACCGCCUGCCCUCAUCUCCAAAACGCGCCAUGCUUCCAGGCUGCUUCUCAACUGCUGAAGCCACACUGAGUGUUUAGCACGUCACUCACACCGCACGUAACUGGGGAGGCUCCCCGCAGGCUAGGACUGUGGGCUGGGGGCCGAGAGAGCCUCACAGACGGGCCUGUAGUAACAGCCUGCACCCCAGGAAGCAGGCCCCGGGCACUGCAGACCCUGGCCCCCACUGCCUCCCGUCUUUCCGGUGCUCCUCAGGAUGCUCAGCCCCAAUCCCACCCCCAGAACACACACAGAGCAGGCUGGGGUCACCAGCUCAGUUGCUCAGUCGUGUCCGACUCUGCAACCCCAAGGAAUGCGGCACACCAGGCUUCCCGUCACCAACUCCUGGAGUCUGCUCAACUCAUGUCCAUCACGUCCGUGAUGCCAUCCAACCAUCUCAUCCUCUGUCGUCCCCUUCUCCUCCUGCCCUCGAUCUUUCCCUGCAUCAGGGUCCUUUCCCAUGAAUCAGUUCUUCGCAUCAGGUGGCCAAAUUAUUGGAGUUUCAGCUUCAGCAUCAGUCCUUCCAAUGAAUAUUCAAGGUUGAUUUUCUUUAGGAUGGACUGGCUGGAUCUCCUUGCAGUUCAAGGGACUUUCAAGAGUCUUCUCCAACACCACAGUUCAAAAGCAGCAAUUCUUCAUGGCUGGGGCCAUGGCUGCUGGGAAGAACAGGAGUACACGCCCCUACUCGGCCUGAACGCGGGGUCUCAUGCCCAGGAUUCCCACAGCUGCGGCACACUGACCCACAUGUCACACAAAGUCUCGCCCCCUUUCCAGGCCACCUGCCUCUGCCGAGCUCCUCCUGGGCCGAGCACAGUGAUGCUCCAUGCGCUCACGCAGCCGCUGGAGCAUGUCCUGAGCCCUCUCACAUGCCGGGCGAGAGCCUGGUUAAUAAUCCUAUGACUACAGCUGACGCUCAGUCAACACUUACCACUUGUUCAAGCCCUUUACAUGAACGUAUUCAACCCUCACAGCCCUACAGGGAGACACGCGCGCCUCAUCACUCAGGUGGGCAGAGAAGUUAGGUGACCUCCCAGGGCCACACGGCCAGCGCACACACGCAGAAGGGUCUGAAACCAGGCAGUGUGACUCCCCACAAAGGAGCUCAACCAACUUUAAAAGAGCCUACGUCCAAAGUAAAACUACUUGUCUCCAGAACUGCUUCUUCAGGCUGUUUCCACAUAAGCAAGUGUCUGAGAGGACGCGUGCUCUGGCCCCAGGAUGCCCCGGCUGGUGGGAGCUGCUGGAGGUAGGCUGACCAGACUGGACAUCCUGAGAAGCGGUGCCACAGCUUAUGCCAGGCAAACCAGAGAGGGAGGUGACUGAGUGUAACCACAGGUACCCAGGGCGGUAGGACAGAGGACCCUGGGCCUAGAGGCCUCGCACUGGUCUGCCCAGGAGGACUUGGGUGCUUCGGCAUGUCCACAAGGUCCCACAGAAUGCCCACAGUGAGUCCCAGCAGCAGAGCCGGGAGAGCAAUCUCCGCACAGGAGUCUGCUCCUUUUGCGGGGGAACAACGUCUGUCCCGGGCACCAGAGAGUCCUCUGCGUCCUCCCACUCAGCAGCUGGUUAAGUGCUCCAAGGGCUGCUGACCCCUCCCGCCACGCACCCGGUAGCUGAGGGCACACGUCUGCUGUCCUGAGCCCGCAGGCGAGCAGCCCAGCGAGGACCUCCCUGGGCUGGACUCAGAGCUCAGAGGACCACACUCCACAGGACGCUCUAGCCACUGGAAGGCCCCAAGGUCCCUGACUCACGGCCCCUCCAUCCUCCACGCCACCAAGAGCAGCACAGCAAGCCCUCGUCACUCCACACAGCUCUGGCCUCCUCUACGCGCGCCUACACCCGCCAGGACCUGUGAGCACACUGGUCCACCUGGGGCCAGCAGGAGCCCCAGGGGCACCUCCAACCGAAGGCUAGUGCUCAGCGCCCUUAGAGGUCCCCUUUUUCCACAGUUCUGGGGGUCAGGACGGGGCUGACUACAGGGGCCACCAUUCGACCCACCAUGUGAGCCCCACAGCCACCAUCAGCGGGUCAGCUGGGAUGGAGGGUCCCCUCGGCAAGUGGAGGACCCCACAGAGACCAGCUGGCUCACCUCCUUCUCCAGCUCGAGGUCCACCCGCGGCUCCCGCCGCCUCUCCCUCCGCCCCCCCCCGCCCCGCCGCCCC